CCUACGGGAGGCAGCAGUGAGGAAUAUUGGUCAAUGGACGAGAGUCUGAACCAGCCAAGUAGCGUGAAGGAUGAAUGCCCUAUGGGUUGUAAACUUCUUUUAUAUGGGAAUAAAAUGUUCCACGUGUGGGAUUUUGUAUGUACCAUAUGAAUAAGGAUCGGCUAACUCCGUGCCAGCAGCCGCGGUAAUACGGAGGAUCCGAGCGUUAUCCGGAUUUAUUGGGUUUAAAGGGAGCGUAGGUGGAUUGUUAAGUCAGUUGUGAAAGGUUGCGGCUCAACCGUAAAAUUGCAGUUGAAACUGGCAGUCUUGAGUACAGUAGAUGUGGGCGGAAUUCGUGGUGUAGCGGUGAAAUGCUUAGAUAUCACGAAGAACUCCGAUUGCGAAGGCAGCUCACUGGACUGCAACUGACACUGAGGCUCGAAAGUGUGGGUAUCAAACAGGAUUAGAUACCCUGGUAGUC
rnacentral:rRNA from 1 species